UAGGUUAAGCUACGAAGGGCGCACGGAGGAUGCCUUGGCGCCAAGUGCCGAUGAAGGACGGGGCAAACACCGAUAUGCUUCGGGGAGCCGUAAGCAGGCUGUGAUCCGGAGGUUUCCGAAUGGGGAAACCCACUACUCGUAAUGGAGUAGUACUGUACACUGAAUUCAUAGGUGUAUAGAGGUACACCAGGGGAACUGAAACAUCUAAGUACCCUGAGGAAGAGAAAACAAUAGUGAUUCCCUAAGUAGCGGCGAGCGAACGGGGAGAAGCCCAAACCGUAUGGCUUCGGUUGUACGGGGUUGCGGGGCGUGCACAACGGAAUGCUGAGCGAGGUAGGAGAACGGUCUGGAAAG
rnacentral:rRNA from 1 species